UACGGAGGGUGCGAACGUUCAUCGGAAUCACUGGGCGUAAAGCGCGCGUAGGCGGUUUGUUAAGUGGGAUGUGAAAUCCCCGGGCUUAACCUGGGAAUUGCAUUUCAAACUGGCCGACUAGAGUACGGUAGAGGGAGGUAGAAUUUCCUGUGUAGCGGUGAAAUGCGUAGAUAUAGGAAGGAAUACCAGUGGCGAAGGCGGCCUCCUGGAUCGAUACUGACGCUGAGGCGCGAAAGCGUGGGGAGCAAACAGG
rnacentral:rRNA from 1 species